UACGUAGGGGGCGAGCGUUGUCCGAAGUUACUGGGCGUAAAGCGCGCGUAGGCGGCUUCUUAAGCCCGGGGUGAAAGGUCCACGGCUCAACCGGGACAGUGCCCUGGGGACUGAGAGGCUCGAGGCCGGCAGGGGGGGGCGGAAUUCCCGGUGUAGCGGUGAAAUGCGUAGAUACCGGGAGGAACACCGAUGGCGAAGGCAGCCCCCUGGGCCGGUCCUGACGCUGAGGCGCGAAAGCGUGGGGAGCGAACGGGAUUAGAAACCCCCGUAGUCC
rnacentral:rRNA from 1 species